GAGACGUGCUGGUAUCCAAACCAACAAAACACUGGUGAAUGGAUCAGUUCAAGUUCUGGGCUUUGCAGAUGACUUGGAUCUUGCCAGUCGUACACAUGCAGCAGCGGUAGACACUUUCACAAAUCUGAAAAUCCAAGCGGAGAGAAUGGGUUUGAUGAUCAACGAAUCGAAAACCAAGUACAUGAAGGCCGAACCCAAUACGGUUGCCAAUCAACAAGGGGACGUGAUAAGCAUUGGAGAGUACAACCUCGAGGUAGUCGAAGAAUUCAUCUACCUUGGAGCGCUGAUUCGUUCGGAUGGCGAUAAUACACCUGAAAUCCAAAGACGAAUCAUGGCGGCAAGCAGAUGCUAUUACGGUCUAAUCAAACAUUUACGCUCAAAGUUGAUAUCGAAGAAAACGAAGUGCCAAGUUUACAAAACGCUCAUUCGUCCAGUUCUGAUCUAUGGAUGCGAAUCUUGGACGGUGAAGAGAAGUGAUGAACAGUUGCUCCUAACGUUCGAGCGUAAGGUCCUUCGUACUAUUUUCGGAGCGAUGCGUGAAGGCGAAAGGUGGCGGCGACGAUACAACUUUGAAUUGAAACGUGAUUUUGGCGAGCCGGAUAUUGUGGCAGUGGUGAAAGUCCAACGGUUGAGGUGGGCAGGACAUGUAGCACGCAUGGACAGGAACAGAGCCCCCUCAAUGUUAUUCCGAAAUGAUCCAGAAGGGCGAAGAGGAGUAGGACGCCCUAAAAUGCGAUGGAUAGAUGGCGUCGAAUCAGAUCUUCGGGCGCUGGGAAUAAGAGGCCAAGGCCCACAAGUGGCUGUAGCGCCGGUAAAGUAA